GGGGGACCGAUUAGCCAUGCUAGUCGCACGAGUUCAGACUCGUGGCGAAUAGCUCAGUAACACGUGGCCAAACUACCCUUCGGAACACAAUACCCUCGGGAAACUGAGGCUAAUAGUGUAUACCAUACCACCACUGGAAUGAGUGGUAUGCCAAACGCUCCGGCGCCGAAGGAUGUGGCUGCGGCCGAUUAGGUAGACGGUGGGGUAACGGCCCACCGUGCCAAUAAUCGGUAUGGGUCAUGAGAGUGAGAACCCAGAGACGGAAUCUGAGACAAGAUUCCGGGCCCUACGGGGCGCAGCAGGCGCGAAACCUUUACACUGCACGACAGUGCGAUAGGGGGAUCCCAAGUGCACAGGCAUAGCGCCUGUGCUUUUCGGUACCCUAAGGCGGUACCAGAAUAAGGGCUGGGCAAGACCGGUGCCAGCCGCCGCGGUAAUACCGGCAGCCCAAGUGAUGGCCGAUCUUAUUGGGCCUAAAGCGUCCGUAGCUGGCCGCGCAAGUCCAUCGGGAAAUCCACCUGCUCAACAGGUGGGCGCCCGGUAGAAACUGCGUGGCUUGGGACCGGAAGGCGCGACGGGUACGUCCGGGGUAGGAGUGAAAUCCCGUAAUCCUGGACGGACCGCCGAUGGCGAAAGCACGUCGCGAGAACGGAUCCGACAGUGAGGGACGAAAGCCAGGGUCUCGAACCGGAUUAGAUAC
rnacentral:rRNA from 1 species